ensembl:lncRNA
CACCGGGCCGACAGGCCGCCGGGCCGACACCGGGCCGCCGGGCCGCCGGACUAGCACACGCCGCACAGAGCGUCGGAUCCCGAAUUCCGGCUUUAGAAAUGUUCUUAUGUGACUCUUUGUUUACAUAUUUGUGCUCUAUGGAUUUUUCGAACAGUAUUUGUAGUUUUGGGUCGGAACGCAGCUGUUGGAGAACCUGAACCCACGUGUGAUUAUUUCAGCUAACUGUAAUAACCGGACGCCUUCCAUGACCAUUGGCCGACCUGCUGUUUGUCACCCAGCUGACACGCAAAGUUGAUGGAGUUCCUGUUCUCUGCUGGAGGAGACGGACCAGUGCAACCAGUAGCUGCACUGGGAGGUUGGCGGCAUUAUGAAGAACAACCUCCCUCUGCUGUCAGCAGCGGCACCGUGGAUGAACUCGCCCUCUGUGCCAGUGGACUCUGCUCCAGAUGGACGCGCCGGGGCUGAUCCCUGAGCGGAGGCAGCCGACCAAGACGCCGCAUCCAUUCAACGGGGGAGCCGGGCUUCUGAUUCGGUUCAUCGGGAUCACUUCUACCUGCAGACAAGCAUUAGCACAGAGUGGGUCGUCAUCUUUGACUUGAUCAACCAAUGAUAGCGGAGCAGCGGCGCUCCGGCUUGAAAAUAAGCCAAAGUAAAAAGGGUCUCGAUGCCAGCGGCGCCCGGCUGAAUCAAAAUGUUAUCUUUUAUUCCAAACCCAUUAGCAACCUCCCGACACGUGCUAUAAUAAAAAUACACAUUUAUUUUGGUAAAAAUGGGAUGAAAACAGCACUUCAAAGCUCUUGGAGAUUGAAGUAGCAAUUUGAAUGUUUCAUGCGCCACCCCCCUUCCUUUCAUUGCAUUGCUGGGGCUUCGGUCAUGAGGAGACCUAUUCACAAAGCCCAGGAUCGUCCAUUCAGGAAGACCAUUCUUUAAUGUAGAGAUAUCAUGUCUUCUCUUAAUGUACAGACUGGUUUGAGUGUGUUCCUGCGUGUGUGCGUGUGUGUGUCUGAAAGUAGGCUAAUGGAAGUUCAGGCAGCCGGGGACCAAUAAAAGAACAAAUGGCAAAAAAACUAAACUAAAGCAAACUUCUUCAAAAGUAGAACAGUACUAUGAAAUAAAAUAGAAAGAUUCUUUUUGUUGAAAAAGACAAAUCUUUUGAAUGCAUCAUGCUAUCAAAGGUUGGGC